AGAGAAGGAAUGGCUGAUCUUUGAACUUCAUGACUUGAGAUGAAAUGAGAGACAAGAAUAUUUUCAUCAACGAAGGAAUGCAAAAGGAGUUAAUUUUGUGAGGUUGUGUUGGAUUGCUACAAAGCAGAAAUAAGUGGCUUUGCCAAAAAAUGCAGAAAAAAAAUACAAAGUGAGGACACACAUAGAGAUGUUGGGAAUAUGGAUAUCAAACAUCAUGUCUAAUUUAAUUCUACUGUAAAAAGUAUUAUGAAUAUGAAUUCAAAUAAAUUUUUUAGUGCUUAUAACAAA